UCCGAUGUGGUGUAACGGUUAGCAUCGCUCGCUUUCACCGAGCAGAUCGGGGUUCGAUUCCCCGCAUCGGAG
rnacentral:tRNA from 1 species